CCGGAGUCUGACGUCACCGCCCCUCCCGGUGACGUCACCGCCCCUCCCGCGACUGGCCGCGCUACGUUAUGUUGGGGCAGGGGGCUCAGCGGGCUCUAGGACGGGGCAUGUCCCAACGGUGCAAAAUGGAAAAAGCCGCCCUCCCCUCCGUGGUAAUUCCUACUAUGGUGGCGCUUCCCGAAAUCCGGCCGAUGCGGAGAUAGAGCGGUAAAUCGUGGCGUCAUCGAUGAUACAAUGGCACCACUGGCUAUAACGUGACGUCAGUGACUGCACAACUUGGAUCUUGCUACGGAAUUGGGCCAUGCUGUAUCAGGACCAUAUGGUGGAUGGACUGCAGUGAUCACCCACGACAGAAGUACUCACCUAGAAACAUCCUCCAUUUUGUUGGACUAAGUUAUUCUUGGCCUUGAGAAUCUACCCAAGGAGAAAGAAAAGAUGGUCUGUUUAGCUCAUUCUAUGCUUGAUUGCUGCAGAAAUACUCUAACUAAUACUUUGUGUAUUUAAUAUUUCAGUAAUCUUGUAUAUACAGUAUAUUGGUUGAUUAAGCAUUCUUGUUCCUUUAAAUAAUUCAUUACAGGUCAUAUGUAUAAAUACGAGAAUUGUAUACAUCGUCAUGUGCAACUCGCUUAAAGUAAACGAAG